CAGAUUCGCACAAGGAGCGCCGCACACGGGUUCGAACCCUGCUUACAACAUUUGCUCAACAUUUUAUUUCAGACGUUUCAUUAAACAAAACGACGUAGUUUAGUAACGUUUCAUUUACUUACAAUAAAUGAACAAAACGGCGUAGUUUAGUAAGGGGACAUAGAUAAUUGGAUUCAAAUCCGUAAUCUCAAAGUCAAAUACUAAAAAAAGCCCCACUGUGUUUUCUUUCUCUCUUCCGCCACUGUCCUCGCCUUUUUUUUUUUUUUUUUGCUUAGUUCUGUCCAUUGAUUUAGCCAAUCCAUUGCCGGCCGUCGACCUCUACUUAUCGCCGGUCGUCUCUCUGGUCUCGGUUCAUGGCUUCCUUGGUUGAUGUGAAGAACUGUCAAGUUAAGGCAAAGCAGGUUACUUUCCACCGGAAGAAGAAUCUUCAAUACUAUGACAUAUCAGCGAAGAGUAACUACAACUUUGGGAAGCCUUUCAUCUACCUUGCUAGGAAACUUGUUGGGUAAUCCUUUGUUGCCUUGUCCAAUUCUCAGUUGAUGCUUAAUGUAGAUUGAUGGAGAUUUUCGUCUAUUUAGGGCUAACCCAAACAAAGAAUUUCACAACAGAUAGUAGAUUGUGCUAGCAUAGCUAUUUUCAGAUAACACAACCCGUGUUAUCUUGUCAUGUCGAGUUCAGAUGAUCAAUAAUCAAAUCUUCAGUUUAAUUAGGCAUUUUAUGUGUCACAUUUGAUAGUGAUAUAAACAAUGGCCACAAUGGGGCAAUACAACAAAUUCAGUGAUUUGUUUUUGUCAGCUUCAUACCUUCUUGACUUCGUAGGACUAUC